GUGACAGCAGGAGAAACAUCAGCCAGCAUACACUACAUGCUUGUUCAACACCCACCUAAGCGGCCUGUGCGCAGAUGCCCAAGAUGCAAAAAGCGCAAAAUCAAGAGAAAUGCUGAGCAUCAUCACACCAAACACCAGUGACAACAAAAGUCCACAGUAACACCACCCAGCAACAUUCUGAGGUUUCCACAGAACAGAAGCAAAGGAUGAACAGAAGGACAGAACCAGUUCCUUUUUUGAGCCUUU